AGAUUUCCAAGCAUUCCAGAAUUUGUGUGAAAAUUAAGAUGAAAAAUCCAGAGUUAGAAGCAUGUGCGGUUUAAAAGAAGGAGCCCAUCAUAGAAGGAAGCAGUAUGCAGAUGGAUGUAGUCUCCAGGAAUUUUUUGUUAUAAGUGAACUAAAUCAAGUGCUGAUAUAAGAGUCCUAUCAAGAUCAAGUCACAUAAGGACAUGAGGAAAAAGCUAAAACUGGAACUGAGGAAACAUCCGGUUUAAACAUACAUAUGAUAAGAUAGACUUUACACAAGCAUGCAUAAAACAGACAUGGAAAAUGUAAUACGUAAACUAUGGUGAAUCACAAAUAACACGAUUAUUUUAAAGGUGACACUUGGAAGAGAUUACUGUGUAUAAAGACAUUUCUCUUUUCUAAAGCUUUUAUGAAUUUUGAGCAUUACAUUGGCUAUGAAUGCUAUGUUUGAUGAAAUAAUGGGUUUAUAGCUUGUGAAAACAAAGGGUGUAGUAAAUUGUAAAAAUGUCACAAAACUUCCUCAAUUGAGAGAUGUAUAUAAUUAUA